rnacentral:rRNA from 1 species
UGGGGAAUAUUGCACAAUGGGGGAAACCCUGAUGCAGCGACGCCGCGUGGAGGAAGAAGGCCCUCGGGUUGUAAACCCCUGUCUUCGGGGACGAUAAUGACGGUACCCGAGGAGGAAGCCACGGCUAACUACGUGCCAGCAGCCGCGGUAAAACGUAGGUGGCAAGCGUUGUCCGGAAUUACUGGGUGUAAAGGGAGCGCAGGCGGAGCGGCAAGUUGGAGGUGAAACCCAUGGGCUCAACCCAUGAACUGCCUUCAAAACUGCCGGUCUUGAGUGGUGUAGAGGUAAGCGGAAUUCCCGGUGUAGCGGUGGAAUGUGUAGAUAUCGGGAGGAACACCAGUGGCGAAGGCGGCUUACUGGGCACUAACUGACGCUGAGGCUCGAAAGCAUGGGUAGCAAACAGGAUUAGAUACCC